AUUUUAGAGGAGAUAUUUGGUUUAAUAUUUACUCGAAUUUCCAUUAGAAACAUUUUAAUGAAUGUCUAUUUCAGCACCUAUAGCGGAUGAACGUCAAUCCUGUCACAUACAUUUAAAACCCUCUCGAGCUUAUAAAGACAACGAUCAAAAUGAUUAAAACCGAAUUUGCGGAAAAGACGAUGUCCAAAUGGAAUGCAAUUUUAAAGAAAAAUUGCGGUUUCGAAACUAUAUUACGAAUUAAUGACACCUUACAAGCUGAAAUCGUUAAUGAUGUAAAAGAUUGCACCUAUUACAUCUUAUAAUAUCAAACGAUAAUUCUCUAGUCGUAAAUUGGCC
rnacentral:misc_RNA from 1 species